ACACCCUCAAGCUCUGCUUGGUGUUGGGCGUCUGUCCCGCCUCUUGGGCGCGGACUCGCCUCAAAGCGAUUGGCGGCUGGUACCACGGCCUGGAGUGCAGCAGAAUUGCGCCCCUCGCCCGCGGUCUGGCUCCCAGAAGCGAACCUUUUUUACUU
rnacentral:misc_RNA from 1 species